rnacentral:rRNA from 1 species
UUACCUACGGGAGGCUGCAGUGGGGAAUAUUGGACAAUGGGCGCAAGCCUGAUCCAGCAAUGCCGCGUGGGUGAAGAAGGUCUUCGGAUCGUAAAGCCCUUUCGGCGGGGACGAUGAUGACGGUACCCGCAGAAGAAGCCCCGGCUAACUUCGUGCCAGCAGCCGCGGUAAUACGAAGGGGGCUAGCGUUGCUCGGAAUCACUGGGCGUAAAGGGCGCGUAGGCGGCUUGGUCAGUCAGGCGUGAAAUUCCUGGGCUUAACCUGGGGACUGCGCUUGAUACGGCCAGGCUUGAGGCCGAGAGAGGGUGGUGGAAUUCCCAGUGUAGAGGUGAAAUUCGUAGAUAUUGGGAAGAACACCGGUGGCGAAGGCGACCACCUGGCUCGGUACUGACGCUGAGGCGCGACAGCGUGGGGAGCAAACAGGAUUAGAUACCCUUGUAGUC